rnacentral:rRNA from 1 species
GUUGUAUGGUUAAGUGACUAAGCGUACACGGUGGAUGCCUUGGCAGUCAGAGGCGAUGAAAGACGUAGUAACUUGCGAUAAGCCCAGAUUAGGUAGUAACAACCAUUUGAGUCUGGGAUUUCUGAAUGGGGAAACCCACUUACAUAAGUAAGUAUCAUUAACUGAAUACAUAGGUUAAUGAGGCGAACCGGGGGAACUGAAACAUCUAAGUACCCCGAGGAAAAGAAAUCAACCGAGAUUCCGAAAGUAGCGGCGAGCGAAAUUGGACUAGCCCUUAAGCUUUACACGCGUUAGACGAACGGUCUGGAAAGUCCGACGAUACAGGGUGAUAGUCCCGUAGUUGACGACGUGUGUUCAGUGAAAUCGAGUAGGGCGGGACACGUGAUAUCCUGUCUGAAUAUGGGGGGACCAUCCUCCAAGGCUAAAUACUACUGACUGACCGAUAGUGAACCAGUACCGUGAGGGAAAGGCGAAAAGAACCCCUGUGAGGGGAGUGAAAUAGAACCUGAAACCGUGUACGUACAAGCAGUAGGAGCACCUUCGUGGUGUGACUGCGUACCUUUUGUAUAAUGGGUCAGCGACUUAUAUUCAGUGGCAAGGUUAACCAUCUAGGGGAGCCGUAGGGAAACCGAGUCUUAACUGGGCGUUCAGUCUCUGGAUAUAGACCCGAAACCAGGUGAUCUAGCCAUGGGCAGGUUGAAGGUUGAGUAACAUCAACUGGAGGACCGAACCGACUAAUGUUGAAAAAUUAGCGGAUGACUUGUGGCUAGGGGUGAAAGGCCAAUCAAACCUGGAGAUAGCUGGUUCUCCCCGAAAGCUAUUUAGGUAGCGCCUCGGACGAAUACUACUGGGGGUAGAGCACUGUUAAGGCUAGGGGGUCAUCCCGACUUACCAACCCUUUGCAAACUCCGAAUACCAGUAAGUACUAUCCGGGAGACACACGGCGGGUGCUAACGUCCGUCGUGGAGAGGGAAACAACCCAGACCGCCAGCUAAGGUCCCAAAUUACUACUAAGUGGGAAACGAUGUGGGAAGGCUCAGACAGCCAGGAUGUUGGCUUAGAAGCAGCCAUCAUUUAAAGAAAGCGUAAUAGCUCACUGGUCGAGUCGGCCUGCGCGGAAGAUGUAACGGGGCUAAGUAGUAAACCGAAGCUGCGGCAAUAUACUUUUGUAUAUUGGGUAGGGGAGCGUUCUGUAAGCGGUUGAAGGUGUGUGGUAACGCAUGCUGGACGUAUCAGAAGUGCGAAUGCUGACAUGAGUAACGAUAAAGGGGGUGAAAAACCUCCUCGCCGGAAGACCAAGGGUUCCUGUCCAACGUUAAUCGGGGCAGGGUAAGUCGACCCCUAAGGCGAGGCCGAAAGGCGUAGUCGAUGGGAAACGGGUUAAUAUUCCCGUACUUCUUACAAUUGCGAUGGGGGGACGGAGAAGGCUAGGUGGGCCUGGCGACGGUUGUCCAGGUUCAAGUGCGUAGGCUUGAGAGUUAGGUAAAUCCGGCUCUCUUUAAGGCUGAGACACGACGUCGAGCACCUACGGGUGUGAAGUCAUUGAUGCCAUGCUUCCAGGAAAAGCCUCUAAGCUUCAGAUUGUAAGGAAUCGUACCCCAAACCGACACAGGUGGUCGGGUAGAGAAUACCAAGGCGCUUGAGAGAACUCGGGUGAAGGAACUAGGCAAAAUGGUACCGUAACUUCGGGAGAAGGUACGCUCUUGAUGGUGAAGUCCCUCGCGGAUGGAGCUGACGAGAGUCGCAGAUACCAGGUGGCUGCAACUGUUUAUUAAAAACACAGCACUGUGCAAAAUCGUAAGAUGACGUAUACGGUGUGACGCCUGCCCGGUGCCGGAAGGUUAAUUGAUGGGGUUAGACUUCGGUCGAAGCUCUUGAUCGAAGCCCCGGUAAACGGCGGCCGUAACUAUAACGGUCCUAAGGUAGCGAAAUUCCUUGUCGGGUAAGUUCCGACCUGCACGAAUGGCGUAAUGAUGGCCACGCUGUCUCCACCCGAGACUCAGUGAAAUUGAAAUCGCUGUGAAGAUGCAGUGUACCCGCGGCUAGACGGAAAGACCCCGUGAACCUUUACUACAGCUUGGCACUGAACAUUGACCCUACAUGUGUAGGAUAGGUGGGAGGCUUUGAAGCACGUACGCCAGUAUGUGUGGAGCCGUCCUUGAAAUACCACCCUUGUAGUGUUGAUGUUCUAACGUCGACCCCUAAUCGGGGUUGCGGACAGUGCCUGGUGGGUAGUUUGACUGGGGCGGUCUCCUCCCAAAGAGUAACGGAGGAGCACGAAGGUGGGCUAAUCACGGUUGGACAUCGUGAGGUUAGUGCAAUGGCAUAAGCCCGCUUGACUGCGAGAAUGACAAUUCGAGCAGGUGCGAAAGCAGGUCAUAGUGAUCCGGUGGUUCUGAAUGGAAGGGCCAUCGCUCAACGGAUAAAAGGUACUCCGGGGAUAACAGGCUGAUACCGCCCAAGAGUUCAUAUCGACGGCGGUGUUUGGCACCUCGAUGUCGGCUCAUCACAUCCUGGGGCUGAAGUCGGUCCCAAGGGUAUGGCUGUUCGCCAUUUAAAGUGGUACGCGAGCUGGGUUUAGAACGUCGUGAGACAGUUCGGUCCCUAUCUGCCGUGGGCGUUGGAAGAUUGAAGGGGGCUGCUCCUAGUACGAGAGGACCGGAGUGGACGAACCUCUGGUGUUCGGGUUGUGUCGCCAGACGCAUUGCCCGGUAGCUAAGUUCGGAAUCGAUAACCGCUGAAAGCAUCUAAGCGGGAAGCGAGCCCUGAGAUGAGUCUUCCCUGAUACUUUAAGUAUCCUAAAGGGUUGUCGGAGACUACGACGUUGAUAGGUCAGGUGUGUAAGUGCUGUGAGGCAUUGAGCUAACUGAUACUAAUUGCCCGUGAGGCUUAACCAUACAACACCCAAGGGGUUU